GCGCCGGGAUGCGCUCUCCUCUUCUCAUUUGCCAAUUUAUUGCAGAUCCCUCCUCAAAAAAGUUUUGGGACUAACUCAGCCCCAUGGAGAUCAAGGUGAAUUAGAAAAACAACAAAACAAAACAAGAUUCAUUUUAACAUCUCAUUUUUCUAUCUCCAACUUUCCCUCCCCUCCUCCCACCCCAGGAAGAAAAGACUACGUUUGUUUCUGGUGAUACAUUCAUUGUAGGUGGGUGGGUGACUUCUAGAAGAGGAAAAUCAAGAAGAUUUGGAGAAGGAGUCUUGGAAGCUCUGGUGAAGUUUUCCAAAACUGGGAAGGACAGAGUCUGCUCAGCCUGUGUUAGUGGAGAAGAGGGAAGGAAACUGGCUGGAGGCCGCUGGACCCACAGAGGACAAUAGACAAUCUCCUGCUGAUGCCCACUGGAUCCAAAGAGAGAAACUCUAUAGAAUUAUGAUCUAGGUUUGACUGACUCCUGGCAAGAAGCCCUACCCGCCAGCCAAUUUGGAUGAGGUCACAGGGGUCAUCCAUCUUUCCUUCUAUGUGACUGGUUUGCUCUUGCAUAUCAUGUUUUCCGCUCUUAUGCUCCAGAUCCAUCAUGAGAAGAACAUGCCCUGGAUUCCUGCUAUCCCUUUAGCCAUGGCUCCAAAAUUAACACACACAAGGAAGACCUGAGGUCAAUCCACAGCCUGGAUUCAAGUCACCUAAUACAUAGGAGAAUCAGAGCUACCCAGCCACACUCAAUCUACGUUAACUGAACCUCAGCUGACCUGCAGAUUUAUGAGUAUGAGAAUAAAGGCUUGUUAAUGUAUAUCA